ACUCCUUCUUGUGGGUAGCAAUCGUGUGGGUAUGGAACUGGCUGCGUACUGCUAGGGUGUCUUGGCUUUUGUUUGCCCUAGCCAGUGGGAGUAGUGAAGCUCCGCCCAAUAACUCAAGUAUAUUCCUGCAUGCUAUUUAACGCGAUACAAACAGAGUCACAGUAACGAUCGGGUAAGGAACUGCCAUCGGUUACACUCUCCCCUAGUUCGGGAAAAAAAAUGUUUACAAAGUAAAUAUUUUUUUAAACUCACAAGAUCACAACUCUAAACACACGUACCUCUGAACCUUGACAUCGUAAAAUAACAAACGCACGGACGAAUUCACACUAACCGACGGUUGCUCGCGAAAUGUUUCACUCAUGCUGUACUAGAUCGUAUCAUCCAUAAGAAAAUUUGUGAAAAACACUUAAUGCGAGACUAGUACUACAAUCGGUAUCGGGGUCAUAAGGCUUCAACGAUAAAAGAGUCACCUCCUCCAUCUCCGCGCAGUUUUGCAGGUUGUACCUGUGUACUGGCCAUCAACGUUUGUUCAACUCCGGCCUCCAGCGAUACGAUGUUUGAGUUUUAAUCUCAGUCAAAGCGAUCGUGAAAAGUUUCGUUACUAUUUACAACAAAAUUUAACAAAUUACACAUUAAAAUAAUAAAUAAGGAAUAAAUUAAAAUAAUAUUUACAAAACUGUACAAAAAUUUACAAACGUUGGACUUUCCGUGUACUCUCAUGCAAUAUUGCACACAAGUCCUUAUCAAACUUCGUUCUAGUACUUCAAUUUUUCAAAGGUAAUCUUAUCAACUGCUUCGUUGUGUGUGUUAUUGAUGUUCGGGAAACUUAGAUCUGUCAACUAUCUGUCACUGUCAAACAGAUUUGUUAUGAAAUGUGAUGAUGCAUGGCAUGAAAAAUUAUUCUAUGGUUUAUUUUUGCUACUCUCGGCAGCUUUAGAUCCGGAACUUAGCUGCAACUACCUUAGUCAGUGCUGAGCAUUGACGUACGUGGAUGGACAGAAUAGUACUUCUAGAAGAAAUAUUAACAGAAGGGUAUAUUUGGCCAUCAACGCGUACCACCCUAUUUGAGGACCUUCGUCCCAUAACAUCUCACACACAGAUUUGCAUGCUGUUUUUCAUCACAAUACUUUUGGCUAAAUCAACGAAACGGUACCAAAUUCCGCUCGGACUGCCUUCAAUCAAAUAAUUGCUGCUGCAUUCACUCAUCAACCAACUGAUUCAUCACAGAAAUUGCGUUGGGAUGGCCAACGUGAAGAAUUUAGAUAAAAUUUGAAAAGAACUACCUAGUGACACGAUUACGACGUUGAAAAAUAAUUUUAUAACCUAAAAUUUGUUCACGCUCGAUAUCUAAAUGAGCUUUUUGGAUUGUAUAUCACAGUUUAGGUUUUUGAAAAUAAAUCACUAUGGUUUUUGCUGUCUUUUCAUUCCCUCCGACCAAUAACACAAACACAGAAACAAUUUAAAAUUUGACUAGAUUUGCAACUCACUUUGUAAACGAUCGUUUUUUCAUGCUUUUCACAUUUAACUUUUGGACAACAGUAACCCCUCUAACAUAAAUGAAAAUUCCGUGUGCAUUGUAGAUUCGAGUAGAUUCAAUCACUCACUGCUAAUCAUUAUUUUAAGGAAUCCGGGCAUUUUUCCCAGAGACCUCCGUGGGUGUUUAGUGUACUCAAGUGAUCCCGAACUGUACCCUCAAAGCUAGCUGGUAAGA